GAGUUUGAUCGUGGCUCAGGAUAAACGCUGGCGGCGUGCCUAACACAUGCAAGUCGAACGCCCUUGCUUCGGUGAGGGAGUGGCGGACGGGUGAGUAGCGCGUGGGGAUCUAUCUUUCGGUGAGGAAUACCGGCGAGAAAUCGCCGACAAUACCGCAUAUGUUCUUACGAGAACAAAGUCGCAAGACGCCGGAAGCUGACCCUGCGUCCGAUUAGCUAGUUGGUAGGGGUAAAAGCCUACCAAGGCGACGAUCGGUAGCUGGUCUGAGAGGACGAUCAGCCACACUGGGAUUGAGAACGGCCCAAACUCCUACGGGAGGCAGCAGUGGGGAAUAUUGGACAAGUGGGGGCAACCCUGAUCCAGCCAUGCCGCGUGAGUGAUGAAGGCCUUAGGGUUGUAAAGCUUCUUUUAGCAGGGAAGAUAAUGACGGUACCUGCAAGAAAAAGCCCCGGCUAACUUCGUGCCAGCAGCCGCCGUAAU
rnacentral:rRNA from 1 species